rnacentral:pre_miRNA from 1 species
UUUAAGAAUUCGACUUGAAGACUUCAACUUGCAGACUUGAAGAAUUUAAAGACUUCAACUUGCAGAAUUAAAGACUUUGAAGACUUUAAUU